rnacentral:misc_RNA from 1 species
GACAAGAUUUUGCUUGAUUGAUUGAUUGAUAAAUUGCUGAAAAUGGAACCAGGGGAGAGGCUAAAGAAGAGGAAGAAGGGAGAAGUCGUGAAGGACCGGAAACUGUUCCGGCGUUGUAGGAAAUGUGACAACUGCAUGAGGACAGAAUGCGGAGUAUGUAAGCACUGUGUGGAUAUGCCUAAAUUCGGAGGGAGCUAUAAGUUGAAGAAGGCCUGCAUUGAACGAGAGUGUAUUGUUAGCAUAAAAAGUAAACAGGACCCUGACUUGAAGAAGAUAUGCCUAGAGGAGAAGAGAGCUGUUCUCAACAGCUCAAUGGCAGUACAGUACGCUAACGGCAAAACAGUCAUGUACAGAUCUGGUGAAACAAUGCACAACGGUAAACUGUUAAUAAUCGAUCCGAACCAGAAGAAUAAAUCAGAUCUUGCCAAUGGAUUUCUACACUCCAAACCAAUAACCCUGACCAAACCUACAGCAUUGAGAACCAAACAAGUACCUACUCUAAACCAAACUCAACUCAUUUAUCCUCCGAGCAGACUCCCUCGACCUGAAAUAACUACCACGGUAUCUGAACCUGUGCCUGAACCUAGACCAGUGCUGGGCGGAGCUGAACCUAGAUCUGAAGAUCUAAACAUUGAUGAGUUCGUGAGUCGGUAUCUGGAGGACUACUACAAUGACAAGGGAUUGGGAGAAAUUGUCGACCUUUGUAUGGGCGAGGCUGAUCUUAGGUUUGACGAGGACACUCUGAAACACUCAGAGAAUGAGUUUAAAUUAAAGGUUGACCACCCAAAACCCGACCUAGGGUUAAACGAGGAUGAUCUGAAGCUUGAGACGAGUCUCCUGGGUCGGCCAGAUCCCGAAGGUCCGUUGAGAGUUGGCUCUGGAGAGGUUAUGAGACUCGAAGACACUGAGGACCUUACAAGGCUGUGCUCUGGGGACGUGAUAACCCUUGACUCUGAGGAUCUGAUGGGACUAGGAGAAGAGGACAUGACAGGGGUUGAGGAUACUGAGGAACCGAGACUGGACUUUACUAGAAUUGGUUCUCGACUCGGUGGUGGAGAUUUUACUCGCCUGGGCUCUGGAGACUUACUUAGGCUUGGGUCUGGAGAGAUUUUAAGGUUGGGUUCAGGAGAGGUACUGAGGCUGGGAGAGGCUAGAGAACUGCUAGAGUGCGGUCAGCUGAGCAAGGGUAGUUGUCAACACUGCUCUAUACUAUCUAAGUGCGGGAAUUGUGUAAUCAACACCGCUCUCAGAGAGAUUGGGAACAUAAUAGAUAUCUACUAGGUUAACCACUCCCUAGGAUAUCAACUAAAUCUACUAGAUAUAUAACUGCUCAAGACAUCUCGGAAAUCUACCACUUAACAUCUGUCAAGUCUACCACGAUUUCUACAACCUACUAAUCAUAAUGUUUAAAAUAUCUUCUAGUUCAAUCAUUUUUGAAGAUAUCUACUAUUUCUAGCAAUAGCAUUGUACAGGAUACCUUGUUAAUGAAGUAUUGCACUACUUAAUUUUACAUAUCCAACACUAUUCUAGAUAUCCACCAUACAAAUAGACAUAUACCACUUGUCAAGAUACCUAUACCUAAUCUAUAUAUACAUCUGCCAAGCAUCUAGAUGUCUGCCAUUCUUCUAGAUAUCUACCACGCAUACUAGAUGCUGGAUCUGCAAUGUUUUAUAAAUCAACCAAUGUCUGCCUAUCUUUGUUUGAUGAAUCUGGUGUCAUUUCUUUCAAAUAUUUUCGAGAUUUCAUGUUUUUCAACCUUUUCGGAAUUUCUGACAACUUUCUUUAAUUUCAUCCAAUAAUAUCGAAUCAAUUUCUUACUUAAAGAUCUGUUAAAUUUAUUGUGGUUUUUGAUGUUUUAUGAACCUAGUUUUAGUCACGUUAAUCCAAAGCUUUUUAUCGUUCUGUAAAUUCAGCAAAUUAAUUCGUCAAUCAGUCAUGCCUCUUGUUGAAUAUUAAUUUUGUGCAAGUUUUUGUAAUACUCUAAAAGAAUUGAAUCUUUAUCAAUUUUUAAUUAGUUUGAAUUGUGAUCCUUUGUACAUAAUCCUGACCUUUAAGGGUCGAUGGCUUGUGUCAGCACCCUAGAUGUGGCAUCCACAUAUUUUUCACCCAACACGAGGGAAAUCAUUUUUAAUUAUUUUGAAGAUUUUUGAAAUGAGGCCAAUUUUUCUUAGAACUUGUAAAUUAUGAGUAGUGUAAUGUUUUACAGUACCUUAAUCUGUAUUUCCGUACAAACAUGUACAUAAUGUGCUUGUCAACUCACCACUGUCAAAAUGGCCAGGUGGAUGUAAAAUUGUAUUUAUAUUCUUAUUCAGAAAA